rnacentral:rRNA from 1 species
CUACGGGAUGCAGCAGUGGGGAAUAUUGCACAAUGGAGGAAACUCUGAUGCAGCAACGCCGCGUGGAGGAUGACACUUUUCGGAGCAUAAACUCCUUUUAUAUAGGAAGAAGAUGACGGUACUAUAUGAAUAAGCGCCGGCUAACUCCGUGCCAGCAGCCGCGGUAAUACGGAGGGCGCAAGCGUUACUUGGAAUCACUGGGCGUAAAGAGCGUGUAGGCGGAUUAAAAAGUCAGAAGUGAAAUCCUAUAGCUUAACUAUAGAACUGCUUCUGAAACUCUUAAUCUAGAAUAUGGGAGAGGUAGAUGGAAUCUCUGGUGUAGGGGUAAAAUCCGUAGAGAUCAGAAGGAAUACCGAUUGCGAAGGCGAUCUACUAGAACAUUAUUGACGCUGAGACGCGAAAGCGUGGGGAGCAAACAGGAUUAGAUACCCGAGUAGUU